GAAGGGGGCUAGCGUUGCUCGGAAUCACUGGGGCGUAAAGGGGCGCGUAGGCGGCUGAUUUAGUCGAGGGUGAAAGCCUGUGGCUCAACCACAGAAUUGCCUUCGAUACUGGUUGGCUUGUGACCGGAAGAGGACAGCGGAACUGCGAGUGUAGAGGUGAAAUUCGUAGAUAUUCGCAAGAACACCAGUGGCGAAGGCGGCUGUCUGGUCCGGUUCUGACGCUGAGGCGCGAAAGCGUGGGGAGCAAACAGGAUUAGAUACCCUGGUAGUCCACGCUGUAAACGAUGAAUGCUAGCCGUUGGUCUGCAUGCAGGUCAGUGGCGCCGCUAACGCAUUAAGCAUUCCGCCUGGGGAGUACGGUCGCAAGAUUA
rnacentral:rRNA from 1 species